GGAAGCUUAAGUCCCAGGUGGGAAUGUAUGUGCUUACUCAAACAUGUCUGGGAACAACAUGUCUGGGAAAGAAUUGGGACAGGGAUCCUGCUCUUUUUUUUUUUUAACUUCAGAACCUGGGUACUUCAUCUUUGCAAUGAACUAGGAGGGCCCUAGCUAGUUAGUUCCAGGUCUGGGGCACUGGCCACGGGAAGCUGGUGGAAAGCUUCAGGGCCCUGCUUUAAGAGAGCUGAUCUUCUGGUGGCAAAGAGCACCACCUUUGUCAACCACCUCUUCCCAAAGAAGGCUGACUGUUAGGGCCGCUCUCAGAGGUGCAGGCCUCACCUGUAGAGGCCAAGGAGAGAUAGUGGUGGUGCCGGUGGUGGUGGUGGUGGGGUGUCAGAAGAAGACUUUCAACCCUGGAUCUAGCUGUGCUGGAAUUCAACCUGGGUUGUGUGCCCGAGGACGGAGAGGAGCUGAUGAAAGUACUCUGGGUGCUUGGAAUCAAGCCCUUUCUUUGUGAGAUUUUUGGGUACUCUGACGGUUGUCAUUUCAUUUCAUCUCCCCAAAGGUUGUGGGCAGACUAAAAGCUCGUAAGGUCACCAUGCCAGAGGCAGGGAAACAGACUCCCAGGUGCAUACCCAAGACUACAGAGUUAAAUCUGAGAUCCUAGUUCGAUUCCAGAAAAGAGUGUGAGCCAUCUCUCUCUCCCUCUCUUUACUUACUCAUCUAUUAUGUGAAAUAGAUAAAAAUAAAUCUUAAAAAAAAAAAAGACAAACAUAGAAUGGCUAUGUAUCAACUCCCUCAGAGGUCAAGUUCUAAGCUCCCUGAGCUGAGUCUCUGGGUUCCCGCAGCCCGCGUUCCCUCUCUCACCCCCACAUCUCGUCCUAACCCCACGAAGCGCCACCUGAAAACUACCAAGUGGGUUCUCUCGGGCGGCCGCGGGGAGUCAGGAGUUAAACCCCGGCCUGGUGGCCCCUUCCCCCACCCCAGCCCCCUCUCCUCCACCAGGCGCCGCGCCUGGAGCGUCGGUCCGGGAGACCCGCACGCCAGAGGCGGGGGGAGUGGGCCUGUCCCUCGAGCGGCCAAUCCCCCGCGCCCGCGGUGCCCGGGGGGAGGCGCCAGCGCCGGGCCAGCGCCAGGCCGGGCUGCUGCUUCCCGCGGCAAAGUACAAAUGCACCCGAGCGAGGCGCCUGGCGCCCUGGGCGAGCUCCGCCGGCCCCGCUCCUCCUGCCCCAGCGGCCGCCCCGCCGACGCCGCCCCCGGGCCCCGACGGCCCCAGCCGGAGCCCCGCGCCGCCGGCGCCCGCCGCCGCCAGCCCGCCCGAGAGCAACCCGCCGCUCCGCCGCGCCCCCGCACCGCCGCCAGCCCGCCCGCUCACCUCCUCCGCGCGGAGAGCGCCCCCUCCAGCCGCCCUCGCUCCCCGUGCUCCCCCUGUCCUUCCCCCUGUCCCCACCUCGGACCUCCCUCCCUGUCCUCUCCGCUGCGGCCGCAGCCCUCCCCGGCUCCGGGGGCCGGUUGGUGCCCCCGGCGCCCCGCGUCCUCCCCAGCUCACUCUCCCGGUCCCAGCGCGGCGCCUGGCGCGACUCCGGGGUGCAGGAUGGUGCCCGAGGUUCGGGUCCUCGCCUCCCUGCUGGGACUCGCGCUCCUCGGGCUGCCCUUGGACUCCCAUGCUCGAGCCCGUCCAGACAUGUUCUGCCUUUUCCAUGGGAAGAAAUAUGCCCCUGGUGAAAGCUGGCAUCCCUACCUGGAGCCCCAGGGCUUGAUGUACUGCCUCCGUUGUACGUGCUCUGAGAGUGCCCACGUGAGCUGUUACCGCCUCCACUGCCCUCCUGUCCACUGCCCCCAGCCUGUGACCGAGCCACAGCAGUGCUGUCCCCGAUGUAUGGAGCCUCACACCCCUUCUGGGCUCCGUGCCCCCCCAAAGUCCUGCCAGUACAAUGGGACCAUGUACCAACAUGGGGAGAUCUUCAGCACCCAGGAGCUGUUUCCCUCCCGCCUGCCCAACCAGUGUGUCCUCUGCAGCUGCACGGAGGGUCAGGUCUACUGCGGCCUCAUGACCUGCCCAGAGCCUGGCUGCCCUGCACCCCUGCCACUGCCUGCCUCCUGCUGCCAGGCCUGCAGAGAUGGAUCAGGGGAGAAGUCAGGAGAAGAGGACCCCACACAGACAUACCAUGGAGUGCCUGUGUGCACAGCGGGAAGACAUACUCCCACGGGGAGGUGUGGCACCCAGCCUUCCGCUCCUUUGGCCCCCUGCCCUGCAUCCUGUGCACCUGUCAGGACGGCCGCCAGGACUGCCAGCGGGUGAUCUGCCCCACCGAGUACCCCUGCCAACAGCCUGAGAAAGCGGCUGGGAAGUGCUGCAAGAUUUGUCCAGAGGACAAGGCAGAGCCUGGCCACAGGGAGGUCAGUGCCACCAGAUGCCCGAAGGUGCCAGGCCAGGUGCUCGUGCAUGCAUCGGUAUCCCCAGCCCCUAACAACCUGCGCCGCUUUGCCCUGGAACACGAGAGCUC